CAAUGAGUCUGCAGGUAUUAGACCAGAUCAAUCAGUCUGCAGGUAUUAGACCAGAUCAAUGAGUCUGCAGGUAUUAGACCAGAUCAAUCAGUCUGCAGGUAUUAGACCAGAUCAAUCAGUCUGCAGGUAUUAGACCAGAUCAAUCAGUCUGCAGGUAUUAGACCAGAUCAAUGAGUCUGCAGGUAUUAGACCAGAUCAAUGAGUCUGCAGGUAUUAGACCAGAUCAAUCAGUCUGCAGGUAUUAGACCAGAUCAAUCAGUCUGCAGGUAUUAGACCAGAUCAAUCAGUCUGCAGGUAUUAGACCAGAUCAAUGAGUCUGCAGGUAUUAGACCAGAUCAAUGAGUCUGCAGGUAUUAGACCAGAUACAUCAGAGAGUUCAAAGGUCAAUGAAGGUCUCUCUGUGUG